GAAGGGCCAUUUUCAUGCUUGUUGCGAGGUUCUUCCUUUGAAUUCCAGGCUUCCAGAAUUGAUGUUUCUGCAAUGGAGAGAACACUCGUGAACAUCCGAAUCGGUAGCCGUGCCCGCUGUACUCAGUCAAAAAACAAACGAACAAACUUCUCCGUUGCUAAAUGAUACUAGCUAUAAGGAGUUUGUGUUUUGUUAUCAUAUUGGAUGUAAUUUUCUGUUAUGUGCAACUGUGAACAUGAGUAUUCGGUAGUCAUUGAUACAAUAAGUCAUGCUACCGCACUUGCAUGCACACACCUCAUACAACCAAGUGUACAGACUACAAAAACAUGCCGAUUUCAAAAAUUGACACAAUUCUUUUGAACACCCAAUCCAAAUAUAAAUGAAAAUGACAGAUGUUAUAUAGUACAAGGUAUUGACAAUGGUCUCAUAAAUAGUCUGUCGGCAUUGCCGAUCAAAAAAUAUAUAUAGAUAAGCCUACACAGUGAGUUGUAUCUUGCAGCCCAAAUGCAGAGACUACACAAGGAUCUACUCUGGGAGUAUGUCCUCUCUCUUUUUUGUUACAAUUGACCAAAAAGCAAACCAGACCUAGAUAAGCCUCACCGUCGUGACUCCCAUGGAGUACACCGUGCCAAAAGGUCCCAAAGCUCAAUGGGAGGAGCUUCCAAGAACAGGACUCUUUCUCCCAUUUGAACACCAAAAUUACAAAGCUGGUCAACACAUCGAUCUCCUUCGUGAUUAAACGUGGUGGAUGGAGCAUUGAAACCCCUCAAAGAGAAAAUGUGUGUCAUUAAUCAAAGCCCUUUAUAGGAGCUCCACUCCGCAACCCCCUCGAGCAUCGCAUCCGCCGAGUCCGUAUCGAUUAGAACCUCCUUGAAUCCACAACCCCCUUGAGCAUUGCAGGGCGAACGUAAAAGAAUUGACCACUAGUGGAAAGUAAGAUUCUAAACAAAGAAUUUCAAGAUACAACUCGAAAUUCUUUACUAUCUCAAUCCAAACAAGAGUCUCUAAAUUCUUUACUAUCUCAAUCUAACCGUGUAUUUGAAAUCUAAUGUGGCAUGCCUAGUGGGGUAUAAAUGGGCAUCGCCUAAGGCUCCAACCAUGAUGUCAAAUAUCGAUAGCUUCACGCCAAAUGUUGGUAGCUUCAGGCCAAAUAUGGGAUCAAGGACAAUAAAUUUUUAAAAAAUAUAUAUGGGAAAAAUAUGCAUUUGAAGGUCAACAAAAUGAAGGUAAAAAAUUAUGAAUUUGGCAUACAUGGUUGGAGAGUGAAGAUUGUGGGAUGUCAAGCUGCUGUGGCAGCUUUCAAAAAAUUUUGGCCAAAUUCGAAGCCUUGGUUGGAGAUAAAUGGCACGCCAAGUAGGUAUAAAUGGCAUUGUCCACGGCUCCAACCAUGAUGCGAAAUAUCAACACCAAAUCCUACAUGAAAUGUGUGUAGCUUCAUGCCAAAUUUAGCACCAAUGUCAAAUAAUAAUAGCUCGGUGUACUUUUCACAUUUUUCAAUACAUUUUCACCCACUUUUAUACACUUCUAACAUAUUUCAAUACACUUUUAAACCUUAACAACAGCCGACUGAACUUUCUAUAGCAUUAACUUUUAACAUAACCAUCAUCACUACUCAUUUUAAUGUGUUAUAUAGACCGCAGAGUACCGAGGGUCCCCCAGCAUCACAAUUAUAGCCCGUAACAAGAGUUUUCAAUAUAGCAACUCUAAA